rnacentral:miRNA from 1 species
UAUGUUAAUGGUUUUAAUGAGG